AUUUUCUAAUUGGCUUGGUGGGCCAGGGACCGGUGCCCAGUUCAACCAGUGGCAGCAACUGCGUGCAACAGUGCUACACAAAUGCGCGACUGGCUGUUUCUUUCUCUUUCCUCACCUCGCACGACAUGAUGUUACCUAGAGUGUUGGAACAUACGAACUGCGGCGCUAUGACAUAUCAAUGUUAUGCUUCUGAAAAUAUAUUUCUUUCUUUCCUGGCAACUGACUGCAGACUGGCGACCGGUGGCUCGCAGACUGGCACCAGUCCGCGGACCACCACUUUGAGAAGCACUGUACUAGAG